GCAUGGCUGUUGUCAGCUCGUGGUGUGAAAUGAUGGGUUAAGUCCCGUAACGAGCGCAACCCUUGUCCUUAUUUGCCAGCGCGUAAAGGCGGGAACUCUAAGGAGACCGCCGGUGACAAACCGGAGGAAGGUGGGGACGACGUCAAGUCAUCAUGGCCCUUACGAGUAGGGCUACACACGUGCUACAAUGGUCGGUACAAAGGGUUGCCAACUCGCGAGAGUGAGCCAAUCCCGAAAAGCCGAUCUCAGUCCGGAUCGGAGUCUGCAACUCGACUCCGUGAAGUCGGAAUCGCUAGUAAUCGUGGAUCAGAAUGCCACGGUGAAUACGUUCCCGGGCCUUGUACACACCGCCCGUCACACCAUGGGAGUGGACUGCACCAGAAGUGGUUAGCCUCACGCAAGAGGGCGUCCACCGUGCCGCCCCGCCCCCC
rnacentral:rRNA from 1 species